rnacentral:rRNA from 1 species
GACGAACGCUGGCGGCGUGCUUAACACAUGCAAGUCGAACGGAAAGGCCCCUUUGGGGGUACUCGCUUGGCGAACGGGUGAGUAACACGUGAGUAACCUGCCCUUGACUUCGUGAUAACUUCAGGAAACUGGGUCUAAUACCGGCUAGGAAUCCUUGCUGCAUGGUGGGGGUUGGAAAGCUUCGGCGGUUUUGGAUGGACUCGCGGCUUAUCAGCUUGUUUGUGGGGUAGUGGCUUACCAAGGCUUUGACGGGUAGCCGGCCUGAGAGGGCGACCGGCCACAUUGGGACUGAGAUACGGCCCAGACUCCUACGGGAGGCAGCAGUGGGGAAUAUUGCACAAUGGGCGGAAGCCUGAUGCAGCAACGCCGCGUGCGGGAUGACGGCCUUCGGGUUGUAAACCGCUUUCAGCAGGGGCGAAGCUUGUGGUGACGGUACCUGCAGAAGAAGCACCGGCUAACUACGUG